AUUUUAUGGAGAGUUUGAUCCUGGCUCAGGAUGAACGCUGGCGGCGUGCCUAAUACAUGCAAGUCGAGCGAACGGACGAGAAGCUUGCUUCUCUGAUGUUAGCGGCGGACGGGUGAGUAACACGUGGAUAACCUACCUAUAAGACUGGGAUAACUUCGGGAAACCGGAGCUAAUACCGGAUAAUAUUUUGAACCGCAUGGUUCAAAAGUGAAAGACGGUCUUGCUGUCACUUAUAGAUGGAUCCGCGCUGCAUUAGCUAGUUGGUAAGGUAACGGCUUACCAAGGCAACGAUGCAUAGCCGACCUGAGAGGGUGAUCGGCCACACUGGAACUGAGACACGGUCCAGACUCCUACGGGAGGCAGCAGUAGGGAAUCUUCCGCAAUGGGCGAAAGCCUGACGGAGCAACGCCGCGUGAGUGAUGAAGGUCUUCGGAUCGUAAAACUCUGUUAUUAGGGAAGAACAUAUGUGUAAGUAACUGUGCACAUCUUGACGGUACCUAAUCAGAAAGCCACGGCUAACUACGUGCCAGCAGCCGCGGUAAUACGUAGGUGGCAAGCGUUAUCCGGAAUUAUUGGGCGUAAAGCGCGCGUAGGCGGUUUUUUAAGUCUGAUGUGAAAGCCCACGGCUCAACCGUGGAGGGUCAUUGGAAACUGGAAAACUUGAGUGCAGAAGAGGAAAGUGGAAUUCCAUGUGUAGCGGUGAAAUGCGCAGAGAUAUGGAGGAACACCAGUGGCGAAGGCGACUUUCUGGUCUGUAACUGACGCUGAUGUGCGAAAGCGUGGGGAUCAAACAGGAUUAGAUACCCUGGUAGUCCACGCCGUAAACGAUGAGUGCUAAGUGUUAGGGGGUUUCCGCCCCUUAGUGCUGCAGCUAACGCAUUAAGCACUCCGCCUGGGGAGUACGACCGCAAGGUUGAAACUCAAAGGAAUUGACGGGGACCCGCACAAGCGGUGGAGCAUGUGGUUUAAUUCGAAGCAACGCGAAGAACCUUACCAAAUCUUGACAUCCUUUGACAACUCUAGAGAUAGAGCCUUCCCCUUCGGGGGACAAAGUGACAGGUGGUGCAUGGUUGUCGUCAGCUCGUGUCGUGAGAUGUUGGGUUAAGUCCCGCAACGAGCGCAACCCUUAAGCUUAGUUGCCAUCAUUAAGUUGGGCACUCUAAGUUGACUGCCGGUGACAAACCGGAGGAAGGUGGGGAUGACGUCAAAUCAUCAUGCCCCUUAUGAUUUGGGCUACACACGUGCUACAAUGGACAAUACAAAGGGCAGCGAAACCGCGAGGUCAAGCAAAUCCCAUAAAGUUGUUCUCAGUUCGGAUUGUAGUCUGCAACUCGACUACAUGAAGCUGGAAUCGCUAGUAAUCGUAGAUCAGCAUGCUACGGUGAAUACGUUCCCGGGUCUUGUACACACCGCCCGUCACACCACGAGAGUUUGUAACACCCGAAGCCGGUGGAGUAACCUUUUAGGAGCUAGCCGUCGAAGGUGGGACAAAUGAUUGGGGUGAAGUCGUAACAAGGUAGCCGUAUCGGAAGGUGCGGCUGGAUCACCUCCUUUCUAA
rnacentral:rRNA from 1 species